CGGACCCAAAGAGCUCAGCCGGCACGGAGCGGGACCGGUUCGGCGGAUUUGGGGCUCUCUCGGUGCGCCAUUCGCUCUCUCCCGGCGCAGAUUUCGGUGCUCGGCAUCACCCCGACCCCCGACCCCCUUCCCAUCCCAUGGCAGCCCCCGGGGCGGGCAGCUGCUGGCAGGACCCUCUGGCGGUGGAGGGCGCGAUGUGCCGCCCGGUGUGCGGGACGCGGUGCGGGCGGGCGCUGAACGUGGUGUGCGUGCCGAGCUGCCGGCCCGCUCCGUGCCCGGCGCUGCGCUGCCUGCGGGCCGCCUGCCGCCAGCUGCGGGGCCGGCUGCGCACCGUGCCCUUCGGCCGCCUGGCGCUGGGGGACACCGCAACCCUGGAGAGCUUCUACAACGCAG
rnacentral:lncRNA from 1 species